UGUUAGAAAAAAUAAAGAGGUAUAUAGAAAAUAGAUAUAGAAAAUUAAUAAAUAAAAUAUAUGUAGAAGUAAAAUAAGAAAAAAAAAAAAAUAAAAAAAAAACAAAAGAAUAAGAGAAAAGAAAAAAACAUUUGCGAUAGUACCGAACACAGGGGUGUGUUGAGAGGAGUGGAAUGGGGGGGUAGGGUUCUGUCCUCUCAGACUGCUGGUCUGGAGUAGGAUUAGAAUAGGGUUGAAUAGUGGAAUGGGGGGGUAGGGUUCUGUCCUCUCAGACGCUGGUCUGGAGUAGGAUUAGAUGGGGUUGAAUAGUGGAAUGGGGGGGUAGGGUUCGUCCUCUCAGACUGUUGGUCUGGAGUAGGAUUAGUAGGGUUGAAUAGUGGAAUGGGGGGGUAGGGUUCUGUCCUCUCAGACUUGGUCGGAGUAGGAUUAGAUAGGGUUGAAUAGUGGAAUAGUGAGGGGGGGGGGUAGGGUUCUGUCCCUCAGACUGGAGUAGGAUUAGGAGGGUUGAAUAGUGGAAUAGGGGGGGGGGGUUCCUCUCAGACUGGAGUAGGAUUAGAUAGGGUUGAAUAGUGGAAUAGGGAGGGGGGGGGGGGGUUGUUAGAGAGGUUAAUAGUUGGCAGGGAAAUGUUCCCUUUCCCCAAUGUUGUAUUGACGUAUCAAGAAUGUAAUGUAGGUGGCCUUGACAGGCGUCACACACCGGUACAGUAGGUGGCAUUGACAGGCGUCACACACCGGUACAGUAGGUGGCAUUGACAGGCGUCACACACCAGUACAGUAGGUGGCAGUGUAUGCACCUAAAAGUUGGAUGCGAUCCACCAACCAAAUCCUAAAGAAGAAGAGCAGCGUUCUUUACUAAAUAGUGACCUUAAUUCAUCAAUCAAAUACAAGGCAGGAGUGAAAACCUGCAGACACCCAUUGAAUGAGUUUGACACGAGUUAAAGGAAAAGGUUCCCAACAUUCUAAUGACCUAGGCUUCGACAUCCUCCUUAACGUUGUUUAAUGGCGAGGCAAAAUAAAUG
rnacentral:lncRNA from 1 species